AAAUAUGAAUCAUUUUAAUUAUGAAUUUAAUUUCGACUUAAAUCAAGGGAAUCAAAAAUUUAAUCUCUCCAUAUUUA
rnacentral:tRNA from 1 species